rnacentral:lncRNA from 1 species
UACAUAAAAGAAUUGUGCUAGGUUUUUACAGUGGAGUACUAUAUGGCAAUACAGGUAAAUGAAUUCUUAAUACAUGAAUCAUGGAUUAAUCUCACAAUAUGUAAUAUUGAGUGAAAGAAAACAAAAAUAAUAAAUCUGUAUAUUUCUACUUAUAUACAAUUUUUUAAAAUGCGGAAGUUCCUUAUGUCAUUAGAUAUUAAGAUAGUGGUGAGAAGUGCCUGGGGUCAAGUGAGAGCUUCUGGGAUGCUGGUUGUGCUCUACUUCCGUCUGGGUCACACUAGUGUGUGGACAUUGUGAAAAGCCACGCAGUCAUAUGCUUAAGAGUUGUGCAUAUUUCUGUGUCUGUUUCACUUUGAUAAAAACAAAAAUCACUGUUCACCUUGAUUGAGAUAUUUGCUUAGCAAAAAGAAUAAAAUCCAGCAUUUAAUAUAGAGGUUGCUCUACGGUAAGCAUUUUUCUAAGAACGUUGCAACAUGUUAAACCAUUACAUCCUCAUUAUUAAGGAUAAGAAACUGAUACAGAGAUCUUAACUCGCUCAAAAUCACACAGGUAGAAGUCAUAGAGUUGAGGUCUGAAUCUCCCAGUGAACUAGGGGAAUUUGGCAGCAGAGUCCAGGUUCGUAAUUCUCAAUCUCUACUAAAGAGGAAAAUAGGAGCUUUGAAACGCGAUUCUCCCAUAAAGUAAAUUACAGGCUGAAAACGGUAACGAAUUUGGGAAGGGAUUAAUUCUAGGAUGGUAGGUGUAUAAUGGGGGAAGAAAUUUUACCCGGAAAAUCGGGAGCAGUAGGAGAGAGAGGGAAGGAAGCGGAUGAAGGACGUGAGUUUUGGAGAGACACCUGGAGGUCUGAUGCGGAUUUUAUCAAGCGGAGAUGGAGGAGGGGCACCAGCAGAGCAAGUGCGGCUGCCCUGGGGACUUCAGUGACUGAGAACACUCGGCUUUACAGAGACCUGCACGAUCCUGCAGUCAGCGCUACUGGACGCUUCUCUGAUCCGUUUCUUUCACCUUUUCCUUUCACUCACCAGGAAUUUUCUUUUCAUCUUUCUUUCUUCUGGUUGGGAACCAAAGUAAGUGAAUCUACUAUUUGUGUCCCAGAGGAAUCGUUUGAGAAGCUCCCAAAGGCAUUUAAAGCCCCUGAAAGUGCUGGAGAAGAAAACCGCAGGUUUUGGUGAUGACUUUCUGUUUCCUGCACUCAAAACCCUGCUUUGAAGCCAGCCUUUCCUAAAGAAAAAGUUAGCAGGACUGUUUGCCUCUCCAAAGAACUGCCCCCUGAUCAGGGCCCUUCUCCAGCCGUGUGUGUCCUCCUUCACGUUAG